rnacentral:sRNA from 1 species
AUUCAAGGCUCAGGGUGGUGGCUCAUUUUCAAGGGGCUGUGAAAAGAGAGGGUCACUCCUUUUUGAUCAUUUCCCUGCUGCCUGGCUUCAAAUGGCCCUCAGGCCGGUCACUUUAGGGAAAUUGGUGAUCGCUCUUGGUAUUCCACUUUUUUUUUUUUUUUGAGACGGAGUCUCGCUCUGUCACCAGGCUGGAGUGCAGUGGUGUGAUCUCUGCUCACUGCACCCUCCGCCUCCCGGGUUCAAGCAAUUCUUCUGCCUCAGCCUCCUGAGUAGCUGGGAUUAUAGGCGAAUGCCACCCCUGACUAAUUUUUGUAUUUUUAGUAGAGACGGGGUUUCACCCUGUUGGCCAGGCUGGUCUCGAACUCCUAACCUUGUGAUCCAUCCGCCUCAGCCUCCCAAAGUGCUGGGAUUAUAGGCAUGAGCCACCGCGCCUGGCGUGGAAUUUCACUCAGGUCCCUUCAGCUCUCUCUGGUUCUGACAGAUCUUGCCCAAAUUCCCAUGGUUACGUGGUCAUUUGCUUGCCUGUUGCUGGGGGUGGCUGGGAGGUGGCACUCAGCUGUUCGACUCUGAGGCCCAGGACUCCUGGCUCCUGGGACUCAUGUGUGUCCCUGCACAGGGAGGAAUGGAUGCGGGCCAUCCAGAUGGUCGCCAACAGCCUCAAGCAGCGGGCCCCAGGCGAGGACCCCAUGGACUACAAGUGUGGCUCCCCCAGUGACUCCUCUACGGCUGAGGAGAUGGAAGUGGCGGUCAGCAAAGCACGGGCUAAAGUGACCAUGAAUGACUUCGACUAUCUCAAACUCCUUGGCAAGGGAACCUUUGGCAAAGUCAUCCUGGUGCGGGAGAAGGCCACUGGCCGCUACUACGCCAUGAAGAUCCUGCGGAAGGAAGUCAUCAUUGCCAAGGAUGAAGUCGCUCACACAGUCACCGAGAGCCGAGUCCUCCAGAACACCAGGCACCCGUUCCUCACUGCGCUGAAGUACGCCUUCCAGACCCACGACCGCCUGUGCUUUGUGAUGGAGUAUGCCAACGGGGGUGAGCUGUUCUUCCACCUGUCCCGGGAGCGUGUCUUCACAGAGGAGCGGGCCCGGUUUUAUGGUGCAGAGAUUGUCUCGGCUCUUGAGUACUUGCACUCACGGGACGUGGUAUACCGCGACAUCAAGCUGGAAAACCUCAUGCUGGACAAAGAUGGCCACAUCAAGAUCACUGACUUUGGCCUCUGCAAAGAGGGCAUCAGUGACGGGGCCACCAUGAAAACCUUCUGUGGGACCCCGGAGUACCUGGCGCCUGAGGUGCUGGAGGACAAUGACUAUGGCCGGGCCGUGGACUGGUGGGGGCUGGGUGUGGUCAUGUACGAGAUGAUGUGCGGCCGCCUGCCCUUCUACAACCAGGACCACGAGCGCCUCUUCGAGCUCAUCCUCAUGGAAGAGAUCCGCUUCCCGCGCACGCUCAGCCCCGAGGCCAAGUCCCUGCUUGCUGGGCUGCUUAAGAAGGACCCCAAGCAGAGGCUUGGUGGGGGGCCCAGCGAUGCCAAGGAGGUCAUGGAGCACAGGUUCUUCCUCAGCAUCAACUGGCAGGACGUGGUCCAGAAGAAGCUCCUGCCACCCUUCAAACCUCAGGUCACGUCCGAGGUCGACACAAGGUACUUCGAUGAUGAAUUUACCGCCCAGUCCAUCACAAUCACACCCCCUGACCGCUAUGACAGCCUGGGCUUACUGGAGCUGGACCAGCGGACCCACUUCCCCCAGUUCUCCUACUCGGCCAGCAUCCGCGAGUGAGCAGUCUGUCCACGCAGAGGACGCACGCUCGCUGCCAUCACCGCUGGGUGGUUUUUUCCCCCUAACUUUUUACUUUGCCUUUUUGGUUUGUGUCCCCACCCCCACCUCCUCACCCCUUUUCCAGUUCUUCUUCAGGCCCCUCCCAGACGCACCCCAGCGGCCCCUGCAGCCCCUGCCUCCAGCCUCACCUUUGUGCCCAGACUCGCAUUUGGAAGACUCCACCUCCCGCCCAGGCCUGGGCUGUUGGGCGGUUGGAGAUUCAGGUUUUAAUCCACACAAGCCCCAGUGAGGGGUGAAGCAUGGCACCCGGGGCCUACCUGAGUUUCUGGCCUGGGUGUCGUGCUGGUGUCUGCCUCUGCGCUGCUGCAUCUGGACGAAGGCUGCCUUCUGGUGGGACGCGACACCCGGCAGACAGUGGUGCUGCCUUCCAGGCCCCGUGGCCUAGGUUCGGAGUGGCCAGGCACGGGGCGGUCCAAUCCCCCACCCGCUGUCCCCCUAUGGGGGCAGAAAAGCAAUAAUGUCCAGGGGCAGGCAGGGGCCCUUGGGAGCUGCAGGGCUGGGGGUUAGGGCUGCUCCCUGGUGAAUGGAGUCAGAUCCUAGGAUCUGUACCAUGGGGAACCAGGAGUGGCCGGGCUGGGUGCCGCCUCCUGGUCCGGCCUCCUCCCCACCAAACUGUCCUCACCCUAUGGAUGAGGCAGGAGGAACAUUUGGGGGCAAACCUGCCUGCCUCCCAGCCCCGUGCCUUACUAGGGCUUCCUUCCAGCUGGCCUUACCUCCCGCUGGACCCUGGGCCUGGCCUGGCCCCACUGGGGGGCUAUGGGCUGGGCUCACCCUCUCCUCUGCGGGGGUGGAGGGGCACCAGCCUUGGCUGUUACAAUCUUACACCGGACAGUAUUGGGCUCCAUGGACUUGGUCAGGGAGGGGUGGGGGUGGGCAUCUCUGGUACCUAUUGGGGUGGGGGGCCUCUGAGAAGGGAGGCUCCUAGGCCCCCCUCACCCCUCCCUCUUCCCAGGGCCCCACGUUCUGCAGCCUUAAGGUUGAACAUGAGUGCACGUCCAUGUCAGUGCUGUGGGACUCCUGUGCGUGCCUCGGACUGCGUGUGUCGGCGGGACGCAGGCACACGUGGGUGUGUGUGCAUGUGUGUUUGUGUGAGGGCAGCAUGUCCUCCAGUGUGCAUGGUGUGUGGGCUUGGGCCCCAUCCCUGGCCCGAGCAUUUCAUCCUGUGGGGGAGGGGUGCUGACCUAGUGGGAGGAGCCCCACCGUGAUCCAUGAGCUGCCCUGCCCACGCCUCCCCUCCCUGUAGCAACACCUCUGGGUGUUUGGAGUUUAGCUUUUGUGGGUUUGCUCUCCCUACCCCAUCUCCUGUACUACACAGUUCAUGGCAGGGUGGGGAGGGGUGGGGUUGGUUCGGGUGGGUGAGGGUCUUUUUCCUCUGUGUGCGAUGUCGUUAUCUGACAGUUCUCCGUCCCUACUGGCCUUUCUCCUCGUCUUCAUAUUUGUACGGUACAAGCAAUAAAGACACUCAUUUC